rnacentral:lncRNA from 1 species
CUUUCCAAUGCCUCCUCCUCCCAUCUCCCCUUCAUCCAAUGCCCAGAUCUGAUAGAGAUCAUAUCUAAGAGAAAAAAGAGAGAGAAGAAGAGAAGAAGGAUUCUUCUUCUCUUCAUGGUAAUCUGGUUCAGAUCCCGUCGGAUCUGUGCGAAAGAGUUCGCGCAGUGAUCUCCUUCUUCAAGAUCUAGAAGAAGAGAUCUAGAUCCAAGGUUGAGGAGCAAGAUUUUUAAGGUGCUAGCACACUGGUGAUCUCGGUGCUCUGAUCAGAUGACUCUGUGUGGAUACCAGU